AACGAUGAACCACUUCGGUGGGGAUUAGUGGCGAACGGGUGAGUAACACGUGGGCAAUCUGCCCUGCACUCUGGGACAAGCCCUGGAAACGGGGUCUAAUACCGGAUACUGACCCUCACGGGCAUCUGUGAGGUUCGAAAGCUCCGGCGGUGCAGGAUGAGCCCGCGGCCUAUCAGCUUGUUGGUGAGGUAAUGGCUCACCAAGGCGACGACGGGUAGCCGGCCUGAGAGGGCGACCGGCCACACUGGGACUGAGACACGGCCCAGACUCCUACGGGAGGCAGCAGUGGGGAAUAUUGCACAAUGGGCGAAAGCCUGAUGCAGCGACGCCGCGUGAGGGAUGACGGCCUUCGGGUUGUAAACCUCUUUCAGCAGGGAAGAAGCGAAAGUGACGGUACCUGCAGAAGAAGCGCCGGCUAACUACGUGCCAGCAGCCGCGGUAAUACGUAGGGCGCGAGCGUUGUCCGGAAUUAUUGGGCGUAAAGAGCUCGUAGGCGGCUUGUCACGUCGGUUGUGAAAGCCCGGGGCUUAACCCCGGGUCUGCAGUCGAUACGGGCAGGCUAGAGUUCGGUAGGGGAGAUCGGAAUUCCUGGUGUAGCGGUGAAAUGCGCAGAUAUCAGGAGGAACACCGGUGGCGAAGGCGGAUCUCUGGGCCGAUACUGACGCUGAGGAGCGAAAGCGUGGGGAGCGAACAGGAUUAGAUACCCUGGUAGUCCACGCCGUAAACGGUGGGCACUAGGUGUGGGCGACAUUCCACGUCGUCCGUGCCGCAGCUAACGCAUUAAGUGCCCCGCCUGGGGAGUACGGCCGCAAGGCUAAAACUCAAAGGAAUUGACGGGGCCCGCACAAGCGGCGGAGCAUGUGGCUUAAUUCGACGCA
rnacentral:rRNA from 1 species